GUGACCAUAGUGCAGUGGUUAGCAUUCCGCCUUCCCAACUCGGGAAAGAGGCGGAGACGCGUGUUCGAAUCCCGCUGGUUGCA